UACAGAGGGUGCGAGCGUUGUCCGGAAUCACUGGGCGUAAAGCGCACGUAGGCGGCUCUUUAAGUCGGAGGUGAAAUCCUGGAGCUCAACUCCAGAACUGCCUUCGAUACUGAAGAGCUCGAGUCCGGGAGAGGUGAGUGGAACUGCGAGUGUAGAGGUGAAAUUCGUAGAUAUUCGCAAGAACACCAGUGGCGAAGGCGGCUCACUGGCCCGGUACUGACGCUGAGGUGCGAAAGCGUGGGGAGCAAACAGG
rnacentral:rRNA from 1 species